GUUUUAUUUUGUGCGUUGACUCCGAUUUGGCACAGAUUUGCUCUGGGCGUGAGACAUUCGAUACAAUGUCGCUAGAUGGCACCAAAAUCAUUCUUUCUGUAAGUAUCCAUGGAAACGGAUGGCGCAGGGGAGCUGGUGGAGAAAACGCUGGGCGCACUCGUCAGUGACGUGAUGUUAUCGAUUGAAGGAGAGAGUGGGACCUUGCUGAGGAAAGCGAAGCAUGCACUGGCUGUUCAAGAAGGAAAGGGAAAGAAGAGGGAAGGUAACGUUAGCGAGCGAUGUGCUGCAGGGAGCAUUUCGUCCUUGAAGGGGAACAUUACAUUCGUUGCUGCUGCUGAUGUGUUGGUUGUGCAAAUGGAAUAGUUUGGUGACUAUCACAGGAUAAUCCAGCAGACGUUACAGGGCUCUUGAUUUUGCAAUGGAGGAAUGUUGGCCCUGUGGGAAUAGGGAGCCAUGAUCAUAUCCAGGGAGAAGAUUAGAGGUUUUCACUCUGGGUGAAAGCUUGAGGAGAGAGGGCCACCAUGGUUGUGGAGCUCCGGAUCUCAGGACCCCUGCCUAUCCCCUGAUGCCCAGUCUGGGUCAGCCUCAGUGGGCUCAAAACUGCAGCUGAGAGCCAUGGAGUGACAUGAGAUAGGUUGUUGGGUGUUUUGUUUCUCCCACAAAGAUUUUGGACCAAUAGUGAUUUUGGAUGAAAGAGUGGGGGGUUUGAAUGACUUUGGAAUAAGCAAUUAUCUUUGUUUCUGGGAGAGGAUAUUUGAUUGGAUAUUUUUUAACAAAGAAGGGACUGUUGGAUAUUGUAGAAGGGCAAGAAAAUGGAAUCAGGAGCAGAGGCAUCCCCGCAGCAGCACCAGAGGAGGAAACCUGUGAUGCACGGUCUGGAAGACCAGAAACGGGUGAGUGACCAAACCUCUCUUUCCUCCCAAUCUGCUAUUCAGAUCUCUGCUAAUUGUCUAUACCUUUGACUUGAGCUCAGAGUAAGUCAUGAGAAAAUCUAUAAGAAGAAAUACAAAAAAAAUCAGUAUGUGCAUUGUUGGGUAGAAACCAUGAAGAAAUUGUGAUUUUUGAGUCUGAACAUGCACAUGUCAAUCUUAUGAAAGUUUUGAUGUUUGUAUCCUAGAAUGUUGCUUGUAUCCUGAUCCUGCAAAGGAAAAAUGAUACAGCAUCCAAUGAUAGU
rnacentral:lncRNA from 8 species